rnacentral:rRNA from 1 species
GAGCGGCGAACGGGUGAGUAACACGUGAGUAACCUGCCCCNGACUCUGGGAUAAGCCCGGGAAACUGGGUCUAAUACCGGAUAUGACACCUCCUCGCAUGGGGUGGGUGUGGAAAGUCUUUUCGGUUGGGGAUGGACUCGCGGCCUAUCAGCUUGUUGGUGGGGUAAUGGCCUACCAAGGCGACGACGGGUAGCCGGCCUGAGAGGGCGACCGGCCACACUGGGACUGAGACACGGCCCAGACUCCUACGGGAGGCAGCAGUGGGGAAUAUUGCGCAAUGGGCGAAAGCCUGACGCAGCGACGCCGCGUGGGGGAUGACGGCCUUCGGGUUGUAAACCUCUUUCAGCAGGGACGAAGUUGACGUGUACCUGCAGAAGAAGCGCCGGCUAACUACGUGCCAGCAGCCGCGGUAAUACGUAGGGCGCAAGCGUUGUCCGGAAUUAUUGGGCGUAAAGAGCUCGUAGGUGGCUUGUCACGUCGGGUGUGAAAGCUUGGGGCUUAACUCCAGGUCUGCAUUCGAUACGGGCUGGCUAGAGGUAGGUAGGGGAGAACGGAAUUCCU